AACACAACAUAAACUCAAAAACGUAACUAUGAGCUAAACAUGCAUUCUACCCCAUAGAUCUUGCAUAAAACUUACUUUAAACAUGAAAUGAGCUUAAGAUCGGCUCUUACCUCUUGAAGAUCGAGAGAGAGACGUCCUAAACUCGGAGGUGGGUGAUUUUUGAGUUCUUGAACCUCAAAGCUCCAAAACUUGCUUUAAACUCGAAAAUCUUCAAAACAAAGCAAAAACUGGUGAAAAUCUUGAAAGAUUUGAAGGAAAAACUCAAGGAUUGGUGAGGAACGGCGGAGAGCUCACCUUGGCCGACAAUGG
rnacentral:lncRNA from 1 species